rnacentral:rRNA from 1 species
GACGAACGCUGGCGGCGUGCUUAAUGAAUGCGAGUCGAGCGAGAACCGGUCGUUUUCUUCGGAAAGUGACUGGGGAGAGCGGCGAACGGGUGAGUAACACGUGGGUAACGUGCCCUGCAGACGGGGAUAACAGUAGGAAACUGCUGCUAAUACCCGAAUUGUACCGGAUGGCAUCAUACGGCUAUGAAAGCUCCGGCGCUGCAGGAUCGGCCCGCGGCCGAUUAGCUUGUUGGUGGGGUAACGGCUCACCAAGGCAACAAUCGGUAGCUGGUCUGAGAGGACGGUCGGCCACGCUGGGACUGAGAUAUGGUCCAGACUCCUACGGGAGUUAGCAUCAGGGAAUCUUGCGCAAUGGGCGAAAGCCUGACGCAGCGACGCCGCGUGGGGGACGAAGGUCUGCGGAUCGUAAACCCCUGUCAGGAGGGACGAAGUUCUGACGGUACCUCCAAAGGAAGCCAUGGCUAAUUACGUGCCAGCAGCCGCGGUAACACGUAAAUGGCAAGCGUUGUCCGGAAUUACUGGGCGUAAAGAGCACGUAGGCGGUUUGGUCAGCGGCGGGUGAAAUCCCCGGGCUUAACCCGGGAACUGCUCGCCGAACUGCCAGACUCGAGUACGGGAGAGGGCAGUGGAAUUCCUGGUGUAGCGGUGGAAUGCGUAUAUAUCAGGAGGAACACCGGUGGCGAAGGCUGCUGCCUGGAACGUUACUGACGCUGAGGUGCGAAAGCUAGGGGAGCGAACGGGAUUAGAUACCCCGGUAGUCCUAGCCGUAAACGAUGGACACUAGGUGUUGGAGGCAUCAACCCCUUCAGUGCUGUUCGUAACGCGUUAAGUGUCCCGCCUGGGGAGACAGUCGCAAGGCU